rnacentral:rRNA from 1 species
AACGAGCGCUUGCGGCAGGCUUAACACAUGCAAGUCGAGCGCCCCGCAAGGGGAGCGGCAGACGGGUGAGUAACGCGUGGGAAUCUACCCAUCUCUACGGAAUAACGCAUGGAAACGUGUGCUAAUACCGUAUACGUCCUUCGGGAGAAAGAUUUAUCGGAGAUGGAUGAGCCCGCGUUGGAUUAGCUAGUUGGUGGGGUAAAGGCCUACCAAGGCGACGAUCCAUAGCUGGUCUGAGAGGAUGAUCAGCCACACUGGGACUGAGACACGGCCCAGACUCCUAGGGAGGGCAGCAGUGGGGAAUAUUAUACAAGGGGCGAGAGCCUGAUCCAGCCAUGCCGCGUGAGUGAUGAAGGCCAUAGGCUUGGAAAGCUCUUUCACCGGUGAAGAUAAUGACGGUAACCGGAGAAGAAGCCCCGGCUAACUUCGUGCCAGCCGCCGCCGUAACAC